UGGGUCUGGUUUGCUUUGAAUUGACUCAUUGGGAAUAUUGGUCUGUUUCUGUCUCUGUUUCUAUCUCUGAAAUCUAGUGUGGAAGGACCAAUGAAAUUGUCAAAACUUGGUUGGUUACUGUCUUUGGAAGUAGAGCAAAAUCUUUUGUUUUGAGUUUUUUGUGGUGUUUUAAAAGGUCUGGAUUUUAUUCUAUGUAUUGGGAUUUUGGGUGAGAAAGCGCUUUAAGAGUUGGGUCUGGUUUACUUUGAAUUGGAUUGUUGGGAAUUUUGGUAAAUUUUUUAAGGUGCUAGGAAUACAAAUCCCAACAAGCUCUUUUAGUUCUUGGAUUCGUUUUCUUAUUUGAAGUGUAAGUAGGUGUAUGGGUUUACAACUUAGUCAAAUAUAUAUCAUCUGCAUUUUCUAUGCAUUUCGUUCUUCAAAUUGAUGCAUAGCAAAAUAAAAAGGGGGAAAUAUUUUCGUAUAAUUUCAUAUGCAUUUAGUUAUUCAAAUUAGUGCAGGCUUCUUCAAGGUACAGUAGUUUGGUUAUUUUGGAGACUUUCUUAUUUUCAUACCAUGUCAUGCUUCCUAAGAAGGUUGUUUUAAAGGACGAGGUGGACAUUGACCCCAAUGAUCAAUUAUCUGUUCUUGAGCAUUUGGACAAAGUUGUAUGGUUUUUUCCUUUCCCACUUUCAUUAAGACCUACAAAACCUCAGCACCCUGUGCUUAAUUAUUAAUUGGUCAUUGAUAAUACCUUGAUGGCUAGAUACUAGUAAGUGUAUUUUAAUAAGUUCAUACUACUUCAGGUCAGAAAUCUGAUUGAUAAAGGUAGCAGAAAGGCUGUUAGUAGGUCAGACCUCAAGCUUUCGUUAGUUCGUAUAAAGGCCCAAUACGUGAGUACAGACCCAGCACAUCUAAGCUGUGAAAAGAAGGAAUGUUCCAAACACCUUGUAUAUUGACAAGAUCCAGCCCUUUGAAGUUCGCCAAUCCUCAAAUGCCCUUGUAUGGUCAUCUCUCAAGCAUAAGAUUCAACCGGCGCAAUGGCACCUAAAGUUGAACUUUGACACGCUUGGCGCUCCUCCGUUGGAGUCGCUCGACCAGCUGGCAUCUGGAAUGAACCGAAGGAAAGCAGCCCAACUCUUCUACCAGACGUGGUAUAGGAACUAGUGUUUCCCUUUCUCCAUCCUCUCUGUUUUCUCUGUUAGUUAAUUAUGGCAUUUUCCCAACUCAAUUUCCUGCUACUUCCUCUAGUGCAAGACGAGCUUUUAAGAAAGAAGGUUGCAUUGAUGAUUCCUCUGUUACAUCAAAUGAAACGUAUCUUGAGUGUUCCUUAAAAAUCCUGCAACUAAUGUUCAUAACAAAUGAUCAGGUGUUGAAAUGAGCUCUCACUUGUAAAAAUUAUGAUAACAAAAUCCAUGUCUCAGCUUGAAGGAAAGUACCAAGAUAAUUUUGUUAUGCAUAUUUUUGUGUAUUAUCUAUAUGGAUACCAUUGUCUUUCUAGUCAUGUUUUUGGUUCCAAGUCACAUGCCUCUUGGCAUUCUGUAGACACUAUACAUAUUAUUUCCUUAUAAAUGAGGAUCCAAUUAAUUGACUUUCAAAUGUAGAGAGUUCCAUGUGAGUUUUUGCACUCUCACACGUCUGUGAUCACAUGGUUCGAUCAUGCCCCUUCAUUACACUCUAAGGAGUAUGCAACAAGCUGACAUGCAGGGUUCCCUGCCUUACCACAUGUAUAAUUUUGUGAUCUCACACAUAUGCGACCCAUCAAACGGAGAUCAUGGGUUUGAUAGGUACCACUUCACUAUUGGCUUAGUUUUCAUUGAAUGUAAACUAAUUUUGUGUUUUUUUUUUCUUAAUUGUAUAGGUGGGUUGAUAUUCUUGAGGCCUGAUAAUGGUGGCCCACUCCAAUUUGUAACAGCUGCGGCAUUUCUUUGUAAAUUAUACAAAGACUAUCUUGGUAUUAUUAGAAGUUACGGAGGGAGUUGUGGUUCUCAAUCAUUUUCCAUGAAGUGUCAUUUGUUGAUAAUGUGGAUUUGAAGCU